AAAAUUUUAGUUUAAAAAAAAUUUUUCAUUUACAUUGGAAAGAUUUAAUAAAAUUUGAAAAUUUUA
rnacentral:tRNA from 1 species